UACACAUCUCACACAUUAUCGCAAUACCCAUUCAGCCAAAGGGUUAAUGCAUUGGCAUCGUUCAAACAUCAGCGCGCUUCUGUACACGUGCUCGAAUUAGAUACGACGGUUUUCAUUGGCUCAUAAGUUGUGUCACAUGACCAUUCACCCGGCUUGAAAAUUUCAUGAAAUUUGGACCAAAAUUAACGAAACAGUGGCGAUUUCCAUGUUUUUUAUCGAUUUUUCGACAAGUUACAGAUUUCGGAAUUCUUCAAGACUAGAUAGCCGGCUGGUUGCAUGGUGUGUACUGCAGAUAACUUCUCGACUUAAUCCGGCUGAUGUGAUGCUUUAGUUGAUUCGAGAGGCUACAUGUAUAUAGGCCCAGUACGUCGACAUCAUUGAUCCGGCAGUGAACAAGAUAAGUGGUUCAGCCUCCAAGAUGUGUCACCAGAAAUGCAACCGACAUUAUAGACAGGCGUGAUUACUACUCUGAUUUUGGACUGAUGGUAUACUCGUCUUCAAAAUGGACCUGACUAGGAAUGAUGAUGGUGACUUCCCUCCUCAGAAAAAAGCUCGGUUGGAUUCGAAAGUUGGUGCAGGCGGUCAUUAGCGAUAUUUCGGUCGUAAACGCAAGAAGUCCAAGAAAUCCACUGACAA